AGCGUGACGCAGCAACGCCGCGUGGGGGAAGACGGCCUUCGGGUUGUAAACCCCUUUCAGGAGGGACGAAGGUCACACGGUUAAUAGCCGGCGUGACUGACGGUACCUCCAGAAGAAGCCCCGGCUAACUACGUGCCAGCAGCCGCGGUAAUACGUAGGGGGCAAGCGUUGUCCGGAAUUAUUGGGCGUAAAGAGCGCGUAGGCGGUCCGAUAAGUCGGCUGUGAAAGUCUAGGGCUCAACCCUGGAAAGCCGGCCGAUACUGUCGGACUAGAGUCCGGAAGAGGCGAGUGGAAUUCCCGGUGUAGCGGUGAAAUGCGCAGAUAUCGGGAGGAACACCAAUUGCGAAGGCAGCUCGCUGGGACGGUACUGACGCUGAGGCGCGAAAGCGUGGGGAGCAAACAGGAUUAGAUACCCUGGUAGUCCACGCCGUAAACGAUGGGCACUAGGUGUGGGAGGUGUCGACUCCUCCCGUGCCGCAGCUAACGCAUUAAGUGCCCCGCCUGGGGAGUACGGCCGCAAGGCUAAAACUCAAA
rnacentral:rRNA from 1 species